rnacentral:lncRNA from 1 species
CCUAGGCUAGAGUGCAGUGGCGCAAUCUCUGCUCACUACAACCUCCAUCUCCUGGGUUCAAACCUCCAGAGUAGCUGGGAUUACAGGUGCACACCACCACACCUGGCUAAUUUUUUGCACUUUUAGUAGAAAAAAUAUAUACAUACGAAUAUAUUCAUUAAAGCAUCAUCUUUAUAUUAGUUUGCUAGGGCUGCCAUAACAGAGGACCACAAACUGGGUGGCUUAAACAACAAAUUUAU